GUGGGGAAUCUUGCGCAAUGGGCGAAAGCCUGACGCAGCCAUGCCGCGUGAAUGAUGAAGGUCUUAGGAUUGUAAAAUUCUUUCACCGGGGACGAUAAUGACGGUACCCGGAGAAGAAGCUCCGGCUAACUUCGUGCCAGCAGCCGCGGUAAUACGAAGGGGGCUAGCGUUGCUCGGAAUUACUGGGCGUAAAGGGCGCGUAGGCGGACAGCUUAGUCAGAGGUGAAAGCCCAGGGCUCAACCUUGGAAUUGCCUUUGAUACUGGGUGUCUUGAGUUUGGGAGAGGUGAGUGGAACUCCGAGUGUAGAGGUGAAAUUCGUAGAUAUUCGGAAGAACACCAGUGGCGAAGGCGACUCACUGGCCCAAUACUGACGCUGAGGCGCGAAAGCGUGGGGAGCAAACAGGAUUAGAUACCCUAGUAGUCC
rnacentral:rRNA from 1 species